rnacentral:rRNA from 1 species
AGCGAACGCUGGCGGCAGGCCUAACACAUGCAAGUCGAACGAGGUCUUCGGACUUAGUGGCGGACGGGUGAGUAACACGUGGGAACGUGCCUUUAGGUUCGGAAUAACUCAGGGAAACUUGUGCUAAUACCGAAUGAGCCCUUCGGGGGAAAGAUUUAUCGCCUUUAGAGCGGCCCGCGUCUGAUUAGCUAGUUGGUGAGGUAAAGGCUCACCAAGGCUACGAUCAGUAGCUGGUCUGAGAGGAUGACCAGCCACAUUGGGACUGAGACACGGCCCAAACUCCUACGGGAGGCAGCAGUGGGGAAUCUUGCGCAAUGGGCGAAAGCCUGACGCAGCCAUGCCGCGUGGAUGAUGAAGGUCUUAGGAUUGUAAAAUCCUUUCACCGGUGAAGAUAAUGACUGUAGCCGGAGAAGAAGCCCCGGCUAACUUCGUGCCAGCCGCCGCAGUAAAAC